AACCAGCCGUAGCUAGAUCAGCCGUGAUGAGAGGGAUACCCUGCUGUUGGGUCAGGACCCUCGACUUUUCCACCAGCUUGUCCACUGAUGAAAAGGAGAAGCCAGUCAGGAAUCAGGAGUUGGCUACCUAUCAUGGGAGUAGGCUGGUUAUUCCAGGGUUUGGUCCCCUCUCGCUCUCUUGCUCUUUUAUGCUGCCUUGCCUUCCACCUUCUGCCAUGGGGUGACACACCACAAGGGUCCUCACCAGAUGCCAACACCUCGAUAUUGGACUUCCCAGCCUUCAGAACCGUAAGCGUAAAUUUCUUUCCUUUAUAAAUUACCCAGC
rnacentral:lncRNA from 13 species